UUCAAUAGCUAUUUUAUUAUUGCUUUUCCCCAUAACAUGAAGUUCUAUUUUUAUUUUUUGAGCUCAUACAAACCUAGGUUAAUGUUUUUCUGAUCAGUUUUAUUUUUUGACUGUGGAGUUUUUAAACAUUGCAAUGGAGAUUUCACCUAGGAUAAUGUCUCUUUAGCAUCAUUGCCAGAAUUCCUAUCUCCAUCUCAGUGCUGGUGAAGAACUCAACAAGUAAUGCUCAAUCAAAGAGUCAACUUACUUUGGGAGGAAACGGAUUUUGGGAGGAAAUGGACAUAUUGAUAGAUUCCUCUGCUUUGAACUGCUUGCAGAACUUGCCUGGACUAUGUAACUAUCGUUUGGUGCAGUGAAUUGUGGUAAUGCUGGCAUAUCUUUGCUGAUGGUGUCACCAGUGAUGCAUUUUUUCCCAAGGAGCCGUCAAUUGGCUUGGUGUCAUGGCAUUUCUGUAUCCUCCUCCCUUCUGCUAGUGAUGGUCUAAAAUUUGGGGGCCAAUGGCUUAUGCUG